CAGUCGCCACGGUAAUACGUAGGUGGCAAGCAUUGUCCGGAAUUAUUGGGCAUAAAGUGUCUGUAGGUGGCUUUUCAAGUCCGCCGUCAAAUCCCAGGGCUCAACCGUGGACAGGCGGUGGAAACUACCAAGCUGGAGUAUGGUAGGGGCAGAGGGAAUUUCCGGUGGAGCGGUGAAAUGCGUUGAGAUCGGAAAGAACACCAACAGCGAAAGCACUCUGCUGGGACGACACUGACACUAAGAGACGAAAGCUAGGGGAGCAAAUGGGAUUAGAUACCCCCGUAGUCCCUGUCUCUUAUAA
rnacentral:rRNA from 1 species